GAUGAACGCUGGCGGCGUGCCUAAUACAUGCAAGUCGAGCGAACGGACGAGAAGCUUGCUUCUCUGAUGUUAGCGGCGGACGGGUGAGUAACACGUGGAUAACCUACCUAUAAGACUGGGAUAACUUCGGGAAACCGUAGCUAAUACCGGAUAAUAUUUUGAACCGCAUGGUUCAAAAGUGAAAGACGGUCUUGCUGUCACUUAUAGAUGGAUCCGCGCUGCAUUAGCUAGUUGGUAAGGUAACGGCUUACCAAGGCAACGAUGCAUAGCCGACCUGAGAGGGUGAUCGGCCACACUGGAACUGAGGCACGGUCCAGACUCCUACGGGAGGCAGCAGUAGGGAAUCUUCCGCAAUGGGCGAAAGCCUGACGGAGCAACGCCGCGUGAGUGAUGAUGGUCUUCGGAUCGUAAAACUCUGUUAUUAGGGAAGAACAUAUGUGUAAGUAACUGUGCACAUCUUGACGGUACCUAAUCAGAAAGCCACGGCUAACUACGUG
rnacentral:rRNA from 1 species